UACAGAGGUCUCAAGCGUUGUUCGGAUUCAUUGGGCGUAAAGGGCGCGUAGGCGGCGAGGUAAGUCGGGUGUGAAAUCUCAGAGCUUAACUCUGAAACUGCACUCGAUACUGCUUUGCUAGAGGACUGGAGAGGAGAUUGGAAUUCACGGUGUAGCAGUGAAAUGCGUAGAGAUCGUGAGGAAGACCAGUGGCGAAGGCGGAUCUCUGGACAGUUCCUGACGCUGAGGCGCGAAGGCCAGGGGAGCAAACGGG
rnacentral:rRNA from 1 species